rnacentral:rRNA from 1 species
AUGCAGUCGAGCGGUAGCACGGGGAGCUUGCUCCUGGGUGACGAGCGGCGGACGGGUGAGUAAUGUCUGGGAAACUGCCUGAUGGUGGGGGAUAACUACUGGAAACGGUAGCUAAUACCGCAUAACGUCGCAAGACCAAAGAGGGGGACCUUCGGGCCUCUUGCCAUCAGAUGUGCCCAGAUGGGAUUAGCUAGUAGGUGGGGUAAUGGCUCACCUAGGCGACGAUCCCUAGCUGGUCUGAGAGGAUGACCAGCCACACUGGAACUGAGACACGGUCCAGACUCCUACGGGAGGCAGCAGUGGGGAAUAUUGCACAAUGGGCGCAAGCCUGAUGCAGCCAUGCCGCGUGUAUGAAGAAGGCCUUCGGGUUGUAAAGUACUUUCAGCGAGGAGGAAGGCGGUGAGGUUAAUAACCUCGUCGAUUGACGUUACUCGCAGAAGAAGCACCGGCUAACUCCGUGCCAGCAGCCGCGGUAAUACGGAGGGUGCAAGCGUUAAUCGGAAUUACUGGGCGUAAAGCGCACGCAGGCGGUCUGUCAAGUCGGAUGUGAAAUCCCCGGGCUCAACCUGGGAACUGCAUUCGAAACUGGCAGGCUAGAGUCUUGUAGAGGGGGGGUAGAAUUCCAGGUGUAGCGGCGAAAUGCGUAGAGAUCUGGAGGAAUACCGGGUGGCGAAGGCGGCCCCCUGGACAAAGACUGACGCUC